rnacentral:tRNA from 1 species
GCGGGUGUAGUUCAAUGGUAGAAUGCCGGCUUCCCAAGCCUGAGGCGGGGGUUCGAUUCCCCUCACCCGCU